AUGUUCCCUUUUUCUCUGCUGUCACAGCUGCUGAUGUUGGCAGCCAUGUCCUGUGAGUUUUUGGUUUUGUGUCAGGUUGUUCUCACACAGUCAGUGGUUGUGUCUCCAGGUGGAGCCCACAAACUCACCUGUGCCUGCAGUGGAUUUAGUGUGAGUGGCAUUAAAAUGCAGUGGGUACGUCAGGCUCCUGGAAAAAGACUUGAAUGGAUCGUGUACUAUUAUUCUGAUUCUGACAAGAGCACAGCCCAGGCAUUGCAGGGCCGGUUCACAGCAUCCAAGGACAGCUCUAAUUUCUACCUUCAUAUGAACCAACUGAAGACGGAAGACACAGCAGUUUAA